rnacentral:rRNA from 1 species
AUUGGGCGUAAGGGCUCGCAGGCGGUUUCUUAAGUCUGAUGUGAAAGCCCCCGGCUCAACCGGGGAGGGUCAUUGGAAACUGGGGAACUUGAGUGCAGAAGAGGAGAGUGGAAUUCCACGUGUAGCGGUGAAAUGCGUAGAGAUGUGGAGGAACACCAGUGGCCAAGGCUACUCUCUGGUCUGUCACUGACGCUGAGGAGCCAAAGCGUGGGGAGCGCACAGGAUUAUAUACCCU